AUGCAUGUCUAAGUACAAGCCGAUUUAAGGCGAAACCGCGAAUGGCUCAUUAAAUCAGCUAUGAUUCAUUGGAUCUGUACCCACAUUUACUUGGAUAACUGUGGUAAUUCUAGAGCUAAUACAUGCUUCACGUCUCUGACCGCAAGGGAAGAGCGCUUUUAUUAGUUCAAAACCGGUCGGGCCUCGGUCCGUCACCCCACCGUGUUGAAUCUGAAUAACUUGUCGCUGAGCGCACGGUCUCCGCACCGGCGCCGCCUCUUUCAAGUGUCUGCCUUAUCAGCUUUCGAUUGUAGGUUAUACGCCUACAAUGGCUAUAACGGGUAACGGGGAAUCAGGGUUCGAUUCCGGAGAGGGAGCCUGAGAAACGGCUACCACAUCUAAGGAAGGCAGCAGGCACGCAAAUUACCCACUCCCGGCACGGGGAGGUAGUGACGAAAAAUAACGAUGCGAGACUCAUCCGAGGCCUCGCAAUCGGAAUGAGUACACUUUAAAUCCUUUAACGAGGAUCUAUUGGAGGGCAAGUCUGGUGCCAGCAGCCGCGGUAAUUCCAGCUCCAAUAGCGUAUAUUAAAGUUGUUGCGGUUAAAAAGCUCGUAGUUGGAUUUCAGUUCUGGACUGACGGUUCACCGCCCGGUGCACACUGUCACGCUCCGAACAGCCACAACAGCCCGCUGGCUCGCACGGGGUGCUCUUCAUCGAGUGUCCCGCGUGGCCGGCAGAGUUUACUUUGAAAAAAUUAGAGUGCUCAAAGCAGGCUACACUGACGGCCUGAAUGCCUAUGCA
rnacentral:rRNA from 1 species